AGUUCCCACAUCGCCGAAACCAAUCUUCCCCGAGCUUCACCUCGCGACGCCGCCUCCCCUCCUUCGCCAGUCCUGUUCUCCCCAAGCCAUCGUCGUUCUCUUCUCCCUCGAGCCACAACCACUGGUGAUCUCUCCUCCUCACGCGAGCAACUCCCUCUCGCGAUUGCCUCACCAAAAUCGUCGAGCCACAGCCGCCGGUUUCCUCUUUUCCCUCACACGUACGAGCACCAGCCAAUCUCCGUCUUGUGAGUUCCCCACACUCUAGUCGACCUCUCUUCCUCACACGAGCACCCCCGGAUGCCGCCGGCCUCACCUCCUCAUGCCAACGUCAGAGAUGCCUCACCACCGCAGGUUGCAACGAGCCAGUGGCCAACGCGACGCCUUUCCAUCACUUGUUGUCAUGCCCUAAUAUCGAGUCCCCUGGCGAUUUCCUCCUUUGUUGGUCACUAGGGUUCGUUGAGGUGGGUUCCAGCCAGAGAGGAAGCUGUGGACACAAGCCUUGCCUUGCUCAGGCCAUAGUAGCUUCACCAGCAGCUAGUCCAGAUGGGUAUCUCAGCUGAUCAUCAUGGGCUGCCACUGUAGAGGAAGUUCGAUGUUUGAUUUAGGAUUUUGGAUUUGAGACGAGCCGCUUGACAUGGAGAUUGUCUAAUACGAUCUACGUAUAAAGAUAAAGGUAAAGGGAAGAUGGAAUAGCGGAGGCUGGAGGGCAAUGCAACCAGAUGUGUGUGAGAAGGAACUUGGAAUAAAGAUCUUGGUGGCUAGCAAGUCUAAAGAAUUAGAACUCUUUAUAGUUUAUUUUCCGCACCUUUACUUAUCUAAAUGUUAUGAAUCGUAAAAGUAAGCACUAAGUAUGCCUAGACUUCCAGUUACUUGAUGUUAGUCGGUAAAUUAUGAAUCAUGACAUGCUUUGUAAUAGUACAAUGUUAUUUAGUUGAUACAUUUCGAGUUGUACAUGAAAUUAUUGAAUUGUAGCAGAAAUCAGAGC